UGCAGCAGGACCUUUGCACCAGCUAAAGGUCUUCAUGGGAUUUACUAAAGGAUCUUUACAAGCAGGGAAAUCCAUUCCUAUUUGAAAGGGGUUUGAUUUCAACCCUCUGUGCCAUUGAAUACUCUCCGCUGAUACUGUCACCCAAUACUCCCAUUAUCUGAGAGGACGGCUGCCCCGGCCGGACCUGCGUUGGUGGGAAAGGCCAGACACCAGAAUCUCCACUGCUUCAAGUGUUGGCUCUUGACUUCAACGUCAUGUGACAGGGUUUAAUGCAGAAGCCAAACGGAGGGGAUUUAGGGACGGGAUGUAUCUGUAAAUCUGUCAAAAUAUUUCUACAAGACAGAAAAUAUGGCAUUAUGCGUCAGACCGCGGCUGGGGCGUUAAGCUGUUGAGACAACAUGUUUUUUUUUCAUUUUUAUUUUUUAUUGUAAUGUUAAGGAGGCUUACUGUGCAAGUUAGACGCCAGAGGGCUUGGUAUUCUUUAGGCCAUCAGGACCUCAGUGCAGGGAUCUAUGCACCCAUCUAAAGUCCCAUUUUAAGGCUCAUAGUCAAGAUUUAGGUCAGCUGUCAAAGUUCAAAUCAGGACAUAUUUUCUUUUUGAAUUUGUGCUGAGAGGGAGCUAUCAUAUCAGGAUUGAAUACUUUUUUUAGGCUCGUUAUUAUUAAGAACACUUUUUGGAUCCCUUACGGGUUAAAUAAAACAACUUCAAAGUUUUUUUUUUUCUCAUUGCCAGCAAAGGUUCAACAUCACUUGUCAAGCCUCUGCUUGAGGUCCCACAGGGUCCAACUUCCCGCUGACAUCUAAAGGACAUCUAGGUUUAGAUCAAAUAACGACAGACGUCAAAGCCGAGACGUGGCCUCUGGAUAUAGUCUUAAAGAAAUUUAUUUUACACCUCAAAACAAAAACAAAACAAAAAAAGAUAGGGAGUAGGGACGUGGUACAUUGGGAAUGUAUUGACAACUGUAGUUUACAUUUUUUUUGGUGUAAGCUCAGAGAAAAAAAUGUUCAUACAGUCAUAAUAAUUGCACUUCAUAAAUCUAGACUGAUGCCAGUAUUUCCCCACAACAAAGCUCCGGCUCUAUUUAAUAAAUUGAAUUUAGCAUUGAAAUUCCACUGACAAAAGAAAUGCUAAUCAAGACCACAGGUCUGCUGCACUGAUCCAAUUUUUCUCUUUCACUUGAAUCCCAAAAGGCAAUAACACAUCGCAGUAAUUUAAGUGCAGUACAUUCAAGGGAAUCCCACAGUCAUAAUAAAUAUCUCACCGCUCUGAAUCAUCUAGUUAAGACUGGCUUGGGCUAAAUACAACCCAACCAGGGGCUAAAA